rnacentral:rRNA from 1 species
CCUACGGGAGGCAGCAGUGAGGGAUAUUGGACAAUGGGCGGAAGCCUGAUCCAGCCAUGCCGCGUGAAGGACUAAGGCCCUAUGGGUCGUAAACUUCUUUUGACGCAGAGCAAUAAGGGACACGUGUGUUCCGAUGAGAGUAUGCGUCGAAUAAGCAUCGGCUAACUCCGUGCCAGCAGCCGCGGUAAUACGGAGGAUGCGAGCGUUAUCCGGAUUUAUUGGGUUUAAAGGGUGCGUAGGCUGUCGGUUAAGUCAGCGGUGAAAUCAGCACGCUUAACGUGUUGUUUGCCGUUGAAACUGUCCGUCUUGAAUGCGCUCGUCGUGGGAGGAAUGUGUGGUGUAGCGGUGAAAUGCAUAGAUAUCACACAGAACACCGAUUGCGAAGGCAUCUCACGAGAGCGUUAUUGACGC